AGUCGUAACAAGGUUUCCGUAGGUGAACCUGCGGAAGGAUCAUUACCGAGUGAGGGCCCUUUGGGUCCAACCUCCCACCCGUGUUUAUUUUACCUUGUUGCUUCGGCGGGCCCGCCUUUACUGGCCGCCGGGGGGCUUCACGCCCCCGGGCCCGCGCCCGCCGAAGACACCCUCGAACUCUGUCUGAAGAUUGAAGUCUGAGUGAAAAUAUAAAUUAUUUAAAACUUUCAACAACGGAUCUCUUGGUUCCGGCAUCGAUGAAGAACGCAGCGAAAUGCGAUACGUAAUGUGAAUUGCAAAUUCAGUGAAUCAUCGAGUCUUUGAACGCACAUUGCGCCCCCUGGUAUUCCGGGGGGCAUGCCUGUCCGAGCGUCAUUGCUGCCCUCAAGCCCGGCUUGUGUGUUGGGCCCCGUCCUCCGAUUCCGGGGGACGGGCCCGAAAGGCAGCGGCGGCACCGCGUCCGGUCCUCGAGCGUAUGGGGCUUUGUCACCCGCUCCGUAGGCCCGGCCGGCGCUUGCCGAUCAACCCAAAUUUUUAUCCAGGUUGACCUCGGAUCAGGUAGGGAUACCCGCUGAACUUAAGCAUAUCAAUAA
rnacentral:misc_RNA from 1 species